UACGUAGGGUGCGAGCGUUGUCCGGAUUUAUUGGGCGUAAAGAGCUCGUAGGCGGUUUGUCGCGUCGGCCGUGAAAACUCAACGCUUAACGUUGAGCUUGCGGUCGAUACGGGCAGACUUGAGUUCGGUAGGGGAGACUGGAAUUCCUGGUGUAGCGGUGAAAUGCGCAGAUAUCAGGAGGAACACCGGUGGCGAAGGCGGGUCUCUGGGCCGAUACUGACGCUCAGGUGCGGAAGCGUGGGGAGCAAACAGG
rnacentral:rRNA from 1 species